GCCAGUUUGGUGCAAUGGUAAAGUGUCAGACUAAGACUGCGGAGAACAGGAUUCAAGCCAUGAAGCUUGCUUUGUACUGUACGCAUGACCAGUGAGUGGUUUGAAGGGUGCAGCAGGAGCAGCAGAAUGAAACCCACUUCAACAUGCAGCCUUGUCAAAGCAACCAGAAAGUGAAAAGAUGCAAACAACUUGAUCAUGGGGACAGCAAGGACGUGCAGUUAAUUGAUCCUUCAUAAAUUUAUAUAUGGUGUCAGAAUGAGGUGACUUGAUGGGGAGCAGGAACUCAUAAUGGUUUGUUUAAAGUAUCGUUUAUACAUGGCGGAAUUGAUUAUCUCAGAAGCGUCCAGCACUGGCAUUAUUGACCUCAAGCUGCUAAUUGUGCAAUUAUCUUUCAACUUGGGGAUGAAGUGUUGCUUGUUCUUAUGUUUGAAUUUUGAAACCUACCAUUGAACU